rnacentral:lncRNA from 1 species
AACAAACAGCUAAACAUCUGCUCACUAUAAGUCAUACUUGCUUUUAUGGGAUUACACCCCCACCCCCACCGCGUUUUCUUUACCCCCAUCACCCCAUAAAUGGCUUUUCUUGGAUUUUCGAUUUCCGUGUCAAGCAAGCAUCCAUUCCUAUCUUCGCUUCCUUAACCGAUGGGCAAUAGCCUUAGCCCUUCUUCUUAACCCAUUUUUUUCACUAUUCUCAAGCAAGUUAUCAACACACCCCCCACCCCCACCUCUCUCCCUUUUAAGCUUUGCUUCACUUCUAAUCUUCUCAAAAUCUAACACCCUUUUGCCCCCUUCUUAUGUAUCUGUUAUUUCUGUGGUGGGUUUCUUAAAUAGAAACCUUAAUUAUCAUUUUCUUGUGUU